UAUACCUAUUCGAAGGGAUAGGGUCGGUUCGGCCGGGUUUCACACAGGUGUUGCAUGGCUGUCGUCAGCUCGUGUCGUGAGAUGUUGGGUUAAGUCCCGCAACGAGCGCAACCCUCAUCCUUAGUUACCAUCAGGUAAUGCUGGGGACUUUAAGGAAACUGCCAGUGAUAAACUGGAGGAAGGUGGGGAUGAUGUCAAGUCAUCAUGGCCCUUAUGGAGUGGGCUACACACGUGCUACAAUGGUGGCUACAAUGGGCUGCAAAGUCGCGAGGCUAAGCYAAUCCCUUAAAAGCCAUCUCAGUUCGGAUUGUACUCUGCAACUCGAGUGCAUGAAGUUGGAAUCGCUAGUAAUCGUGGAUCAGCACGCCACGGUGAAUACGUUCUCGGGUCUUGUACAYACUGCCCGUCACGCCAUGGGAAUUGGUUUCACUCGAAGCU
rnacentral:rRNA from 1 species